rnacentral:rRNA from 1 species
UUGACGGGGAGCACCGCAACGGGAGGAGCGUGCGGUUCAAUUGGAUUCAACGCCGGACAACUCACCAGGAGCGACGGUUACAUGAAGGCCAGGCUGAUGACCUUGCCUGAUUUUCCGAGAGGUGGUGCAUGGCCGUCGUCAGUUCGUACCGUAAGGCGUUCUCUUAAGUGAGAUAACGAACGAGACCCUCACCGCUAAUUGCUAGUGUUCUCUCCGGAGGGCACGCACAUUAACGGGACCGCUGUCGCUAAGACAGAGGAAGGAGAGGUCAACGGUAGGUCCGUAUGCCCCGAAUCUCCUGGGCUACACGCGCGCUACAAAGGUUGGGACAAUGGGCUCCGACAUCGAAAGGUGAAGGUAAUCUCGAAACCCAAUCGUAGUUCGGAUUGAGGGUUGUAACUCACCCUCAUGAAGCUGGAUUCCGUAGUAAUCGCUUGUCAACAUCAAGCGGUGAAUAUGCCCCUGCUCCUU